rnacentral:rRNA from 1 species
CAGUAGCCGCGGGAAUACGUAGGGUGCGAGCGUUAAUCGGAAUUACUGGGCGUAAAGCGUGCGCAGGCGGUUGUGUAAGACAGGUGUGAAAUCCCCAGGCUUAACCUGGGAACUGCGCUUGUGACUGCACAGCUAGAGUAUGGCAGAGGGGGGUGGAAUUCCACGUGUAGCAGUGAAAUGCGUAGAGAUGUGGAGGAACACCGAUGGCGAAGGCAGCCCCCUGGGCCAAUACUGACGCUCAUGCACGAAAGCGUGGGGAGCAAACAGGAUUAGAUACCCGUGUAGUCCCUGUCUCUUAUAC